CCGCUGCCACACUUGGCAUCCUUCCCUCCCCGUCCACAAAAAGAUGCCAUUUCCAUGAACACAUCCUUCACAAGCUCACCGAAAGCUUGUUAGGCUUUGGGUAUCUUCUUGAGAUCAUCUACUCCGAGGCUAUCAAUUGAGAUCUCUUCUUUGACAGUGUGCUGCGCCCGAGUCCUUCAGAGCUCUCGAAUGGCUCCAGCCUUCAGAGGAAGAAGAAAGGCUUGCUGGCGACCUCGACUUCGACGUCAGCAGAAGAACUCGGAGCCAUCACGACGCCCCACGGAUGAUGUCUCCUCGAAACAAGCCAUGUCGGAUUUGGAAGAGAAGAGAGCAAUCGACAUCGCAGCUGCAGGAUCCUCAACCCCAAAGGCCAAGACCUCCCGGAUACCGGAGCACCUCAGCUGCCCACCGGCGCCUAAAAAGCGACGGGUCACCGCCAUGCGCUGGUCCGAGAACACACCUCCCGUCCCCUUCUUCACCUCGCCAGACCUCGAUCUCUUCUUCCUCUACGCCCUACGGGAGAUCUCACUGUAGACCCUUCUCAGGCCGAAACACUGCAUCGCCAUUGAUCUUUCCCUUCUGUCUUUGUUGCUGAGGUUGGUUUUCUAGGGUUUGGUGAGCUUGUUUUAUGCUUCACAGCUACUUUUUAUAGCUGAGAAGCCCGAGUUUGUGCAUCUUUUCAGUUCCCUGUGUGCAGUAUCGAUCUGGUUGUGAAGAGAAUGCUGCUUGUUGUUCCUCAUUCGUCUUCGUCUUCUUCAUCUUCCAUGUCUAGUGCUGGCUUUCUUGACCUCCUUUAACUUUGGAAGGUUCUCAUCAUCGUG